rnacentral:rRNA from 1 species
UACGUAGGUGGCAAGCGUUGUCCGGAUUUACUGGGCGUAAAGAGCGCGCAGGCGGUCGUUUAAGUCGAAUGUGAAAGCCCCCGGCUCAACUGGGGAGGGUCAUUCGAUACUGAUCGACUUGAAGGCAGGAGAGGGAAGUGGAAUUCCGGGUGUAGCGGUGAAAUGCGUAGAUAUCUGGAGGAACACCGGUGGCGAAAGCGCUUGACUGGGCCAUAACUGACGCUGAGGAACGAAAGCUAGGGGAGCAAAAGGG